GAUGAAGAACGAAGCGAAAUGCGAUAAGUAGUGUGAAUUGCAGAAUUCAGUGAAUCAUCGAAUCUUUGAACGCACAUUGCGCCUUCUAGUAUUCUGGGAGGCAUGCCUGUUUGAGCGUCAUUAAACCUCUCUCAAGUAUGAUUACUUGGAUGUGAAGGAAGAGUACCUUAAACUUAAGGAGUGUUCUCCUUUGAAAUUGAUUAGCAGAUGGUAAUGUUAUUAAAUCCCUGAUGUUGUAAGAAAUAACAGUGGUUUUGUAGACUAUUAUCUAGCUUUAAAUUAUAAUUUUUAUUAUGGUUGACCUCAAAUCAGGUAAGGAUACCCGCUGAACUUAAGCAUAUCAAUAAGCGGAGGA
rnacentral:misc_RNA from 1 species